UACGUAGGGGGCUAGCGUUGUCCGGAAUCAUUGGGCGUAAAGAGCGUGUAGGCGGCCCGGUAAGUCCGCUGUGAAAGUCGGGGGCUCAACCCUCGAAUGCCGGUGGAUACUGUCGGGCUAGAGUGCGGAAGAGGCGAGUGGAAUUCCUGGUGUAGCGGUGAAAUGCGCAGAUAUCAGGAGGAACACCAAUUGCGAAAGCAGCUCUCUGGGACGGUACUGACGCUGAGACGCGAAAGCGUGGGGAGCGAACAGG
rnacentral:rRNA from 1 species